UGCAGCGGGGCCCGCACGGUUCGUCGUGGCACGGGGUGCAGACUGACAGCGGAUAGUCGAGCUCCCUUUCAUAAGCGAGUCCGUGCCCGCCGCAAGGAACAACUGGUCGAACUGGCGGCAGGCCUAACUACUCCCGUGGGGCCGUGACGAGGCGUGGCGUGGCGAGGCGUAGCGGCGCGGGGCGGGGUGUUUAGUGGGCGGUUAACGAGCCCCAAGUGAGCCGCGUUAUGAUGUGACAUUCGAUCCACAGCCUUUGAGCCGGUGUGCCGAGUGAGUGCGUUACUGUUUUGCACCGUUAUGUUGGCUUUGAGGACGGCUGCCGCGGCGCACCCGCCUCGUAACGAUUAAAGCCAUUCGAACGCGUGGUACUUGAGGCAUUCACAAAGAGAUCGGUGAUUGUUUGGCAUCCACGGGAUUUCUUUUUCAGCCGUUGCCGUUUUGCCUGACCAAGUUGUGUGGGUUACAAGAGUGAGCGGUUUUAGAACUGAACAAAGCACAGAGUAAUGUAACAUGUAAUUAUGAAGGUUUUAUUAUUAUUGAUGUCACUGGACUUUGUACAAUCCGAUGUCUUCCCAACAAAUAUAAAAAAGGUUUGGAAAAUUUACACACAAUUA